GGGUCCUUGCUGGUUAAGGAGAGUAGUUGAGCGGUGGAGGUUUGCUUAUGGAUUAUCUGUCCUUUUUUAUUUGUUGUUAUGGUCCUUUUGAUAUCAUAUCGUGGUGGUGUGAGGAUCGCCACCAGACUAAUUAGAAGCUUGACAGUAUGGCCAUUCCUGUUAGCUGGAUCUGCAGAGGCAGCAGGGUGGUGUUUUGGAGGUCGAUUGAGACGUUGACUGGACUGAGUUCAUAGCGCCGGGAGAACCCCAUCGUUUGGAUAUCUCUACCUCUCAGCUCCUUUCUUAUUGGUCCAUUACUCUUAAAUUUCUGUCCGCUGCAAUUCUGAUAUUCGGGCUGGUGGUUCUUCUCCAGCAGUCGGAUUUUAUAUGGAUGGAUGGAUUGGAGGGGGAGUUUGAUUCUGCUUGAGCAAUCGGAACCGUGUGGGGUUCCGUGUGUUUGUUCACUAAUAAGCCUCUCUCCUUCCAACAUACUUCGACAUUUGACUUUCCUCAAGGGCUACCUCUGAUGCUUCGUUAGUAAUUGUGCAGUUUGGGGAGGCAUCACUGCAGAGAUAGGACUUGCAGCUGGAAUUGUCACCAAUUGACCAGGCUUUAUCCCUAUCUUAUCCCUGUGCCUGCAUUGUUUGAUGAAUGUUUCUGCUGUUUAUAAGUGUCAAAUAGAUGGUUACAAUAGAGUGGUCUCUCACUGAUUGCAGAUCGCUAGGUGUUGCACAGGAGCAAUAGGAAGCCGAUUUGAAAUCUCCGCAUCUCUUCAAAACUAACCACCUUCUCCUAUUCCAUUUGAGUUUGUUAAAGUGGCUACCUCAAAGUAGAUAAUGAUCACAGUAUAGUCAUCAUUGCAGGUCACCAGCUUCUCCUAUUCCAUUUGAAAGAACUGAUAGUGGGAAGCGGAAGCGGAAUGUGUUGGGAGUACUUCUAACCUGCUCCUAAUUUUGAGACAACAUGCUAGUUUAUGGAAUUAUGAUAACUUUACUGAGUUGAAAAUCUUGGAUACCCCGUUACGCAGUGGUAAAAGGUUGGGAGCAUACCUGGGAGAUUCAAGCAGCGUGGGGAAUUUUAUAACUACAACUCGUUUACACCUUUAACACUUAACUUGUUUCUGUUUUUAUCUGUUAUAUGCUUUGAGCGUAGCUUUAAUUCCGGUGCUGCUUGCAUUCCUAUGUUCGCAGAUCAUUUAGCUCAACUAAUUGGUUGUCCGUCUGAUCUGGUGAUAAAGUCUGGUUUGGGAUUUCUAUCUGUGGUUUGAUUUUUUUUUUGCUUCACUUCAUUUGGCUUCCGUCUAUGUUUUUGUGCUCGGUUUGUCAUGUGGUUGUUGCAGGGUUAGUUUGGCGUUGGGACUUACCUGUAUCCAAGAACCAGCACUCGAAAUUGGGGGGCAGGUUAGAGUCUAGUGCAUGGUCAUUUUGGUUAUUCUGGUUCCAUUACUUUCAAUGGUUUCAGAUCUGAAUGGUUUGCUGUCCUGGCUCACCAAUGGAUAAUGAUGAUUGCGGAACAAGGUUUGAGACCCUGGAUUUAUUGCAUAAGCUAAUCUCGGCUGUGGUGUUUGUGUUCUUAAGAAUGCAGAUGGGCAUUGGUUGUGGAGAUCGAGCAGUGUAGAGGUUUGGUUAUGGCUGACAGUAGUUUCAUUAUUAUCCUUUACGUGAUUGUAAUGCCAUCAUGAUAUUAUGGGUAGAUGCGAGAUUUGAUUGGAUUCAAUGUUCAAAUAUAUAAGGAUGCUAUUGGAAGUGGUCAAGUGGAUAUUUUCGGAAUUAGCAGACUGCAAAAAUUUAUGAUGCUUAGCCUCUUGACUCCUGAUUUGACUCCUGAUUUGUUUGGUCUGCACAGUUUAAUAUCUGCCUCCAUCUGUUCUGAUCAGUUCCUUCUGUUUUCCAGCCACUUAAAUUUAUAUAUGGAUGCCUAGGAAAUCUUUUGAGCUCCAACAAUUGAAAUUAUAAGGAGGCUUCUAGUACUGUCUACUUAUCAACAACAGUUCUUGCAGUUGUGCUGAGAUACAAUUUCCAACCAUUGUUGGUGCUCCUAUGUCUACUUAUCAACAACAGUUCUUGCAGUUGUGCUGAGAUACAAUUUCCAACCAUUGUUGGUGCUCCUAUGUGCAUGCUCUCCCCUAAGCCAGGCCUAUCCCUAUCCCAUUCUCCAUUUAAUUUACCUUGAUAAGUUCAGUCUGAUACAUCUUCAAAAUUCUGGCACCUUCACUUGCUGACCAGAGAACUUACGAUAGCAGAUACUGAUGUACAGCUUAAUUACUUGGACUGACCUGCAUAGGACAUUCUGAAGCUGUUUGGAUGCUCCAAUGCAGUCUCGUGAUUCACAUCCACAAGAAGAUGCUCUUUUCCCAGAGUUUGCCCUUAGUUCUUAUUAUUGUCUACAACAUUACUUCCAGUUCACUUGUUCAAUUUUGGUUGAUGGUUGGUUGGUUGGUCUCCAGUUAUUUGGAGAGUACCAUGCUUAGACGUUCGGAGUGACUUGUAAGAUUUUUCCUCCUAACAAGAGCUCACACUUACUCUUGCUAAUAUCCUGAUUACUACUACUAUUUUGGAUCCAUAUUUAAGUUGAUGGCUGUUUGGUUGGUUCUAUCUUAACUACAUUCUGAGUUUUACCCGAUUUCAUCUGUGGGUUCUUCCAUCCAGUAAUAUACAAUGCUUUGCACAAGCUCGAUUUGGCAGUCACCCUACAUGCCCAUCCGUUGGUGGAAGUUCAAUCUAUUUUGAGUAAGGUCUCAGCUAGAUGUUGGCCCCAUUCAUUUUGCAACUUCAAGCUAAAGAAUCGAGAGAUUAGUCCUUCCUCCUGAACCUUGAUCUGCAACUCCCUCAUUUUGGACUUCCAUCUGGUGCAUUCCCUUUUUUUUUGGAUCAAAACCAGGAAAAGAUAGUGCUUCUUUUGUUCUUGCUAAUAGAGAAUCUGAACUUACGUUGUUUAUCUGAACAAUUAUUGUUGGAACUGGAGCUUCUUUCUGUUUGCUUGCUGUUUGGUCAUUUCUGUGGCAGAGCAAGUGUCAGACUAGAUCUCUAGUAUCUGCAUUGAAUUAGCUACCUGGAUUUCAAUUUCAAGAAUUUGGGCUGAAGCUAUCUGAUUCAAUCUACAGACUGAGGGAGUAGCCCUUCCUCCCGAACCUUGUUAUGCAAUUCCCUCAUUUUGGACUUCCGUCAGCAUUCUAAUUUUGUGGAUCAAAACCAAGAGAAGAUGAUGCUUCUUUUGUUCUCUCCAAAGAAAAAUGUCUGAACUGACACGUCGUUUCACUGAACAAUUGUUGGAACUGGAGUCUUCUUUCUGUUAGCUUGCUGUUUGGUCAUUUCUGUGGCAAAACGAGUGUCAGAUUAGAUCUCUAAUAUCUGCAUUGAGCUAACCACCUGGAUUUCAGUUUCAAGAAUUUGGGUUGAAGUUAUCUGGUUGAGAUCAUUCAAGCUAUAUGUGUUGAUUUGCCCGUGUUUGAAGUGGGAUAUCUUUAUAGCCAAACGGAAGUUUCAGUGUUUGCUUUGACUCUUUUCAGUAAUCAACUGGGUUUGUCCACCUUUGCCUUGUGAACCUAAAUUCUGUGCUUGGUUUCGAUUUGUCAGUUGUACGUAUUGUUUGUAAAGAUGGGGUUGCUUCUGUUUGGUCAUGGACAAAUUAGUGUGUUCAACUUCUAUGUAAAAUAGUGAUCUUAGGUUAGCUACAAACUAGGAUGGUCCAGCUUGCAUUUGAUCAACCGAUCUCCUUGCGCAAAUGAUCCAAGCAACAACAAUACAACAUAGGUGAGGACUAAAGUGUGCAGACUUCUUACUAUGAUUGCAUUAUUUGCACCUAUUGGAGCUGAGAAAUGAGGAUGCUAAAAUGAAGAAUACCAUCAUCAUGAAAUUGUGAUUAGUCAAUAACAAUUACAUUUUUUCUGAUUUUGGAUUGCUAGUUAUGAUAUAGUCUGGAAGCUGGGAGGACUAGUACUUCUACUGGACUUGAGUUGCCAGCUUGCCACCUGUGAUCUGUUGGAUAAUCUGUACAAAUAAAUGUAGCUGAGUGUAUGCAUGCUUAUAGACUAACUUUGCUAUUGAUUUGGACUACUUGAACUUUCC